CCCAAGAGCUGUUGGGGGCUCCAUCCUUGCGGAUCUUCAAAAGCCAGGCAGGUCCUGGCAGCCGCUGUCGGUGGUCCUUAGGUGACCCCUCGCUGCAGAUAUUCCAGAACCACAUGGGCACAAUCUUUUGCCAUGUUUUUUGGGAUGAUCCUGCUUGAGCAGGGAGAUUGGACCAGAUUACCACUGUAGUACCUUUCCAGCUUGACUCAUUCUGUGAUUCUGCGGUUCUGUCAUACGUGAUCAGGGGGACUGGAGAAGCUGGCCUCCAGAGAUCCAUUUCAGUGGCAGCCACUCUGCCAUCGUGCAUGUCCAGGGAAGGAGAGGCCAGCUUCCACAGUGCCAGAAGUUCAAAGCAUUCUGCUUUAUGUCCAGACAACAGCAAGGUAGCACACCAACAGAAAGAAGAAAUACCAGCACUAAACAUGUAACCUGUGCAGCCUGUGCUGGUGUUUCCAAUUCAAACCUUACCCUCAGACUGCAGCAGGAACAUUUUCUUCAAAUAAAGAAACAAUCACAGAAUCCCUUAGGUUGGAAAGGACCUCUGAGAGCAACCUCCGACCAAACACCACCGUGUCAAUUAGAACAUGCCACUAAGUGCUACAUCCUGUCUUUUCUAGAACACCUUCAGGAAUAGUGAUUCUACCAUCUCCCUGGGCAGUCCAUUCCAAUGUUUAACAACCUUUUCUAUGAAGAAAUUUCUCCUAAUGCCCAACCUGACCUUCCUGUGGGUCAGUUUGAGACUAGAGCAAAGUAAUGAUUUCAAAUAUUACUGGACAGAGGCCACUGUACUGUUUCAGUUCUUCGACUUCCACUGCAGUUCCAUAAAUGGCAAUGGCAUUUUUACAGAGAUCACUAUAAAUUGCUUAGAGAUUGUCAAGUCAUUGAUCUCUGGUCACUAAACAGUUGCCAGGUAAGAAACCUGAAUCAUUAGCACUAUAAGUUAUUUUCCAUGUCUUAGUUAGGAAACAAAUUAAUAGCCAAGUGUUAGAGCGUUUGAGCUAUUCAGUAUUGGAUGUCAGUACUUGCUGUCUUGCUUUAUUCAGAAAAAAUAAGAAAUGGCAUUCUACAUUUUGCUUUUUCUUAUCCACAGCUGUCUGCAUCUUUGUUUUUGUUUUCUGCUGAGAAGUAUGUUCAGUUAAAGCAAAAAUACAGGCUACAGCAACAUUUCCUGCUCUGUUGUUUUGUGCUGGCUACUACCACAGCCCUUUGAUUCAGAGGGUUUGGUUGCUCUUGGAAAUGCAGAUGUUCCAUUUCAGCAACCACAGUCCGAAGAGAACAUUUCUGCAAGCUACAGGGUGUAGGCUUGGGAUCAUUUCAUAUAUGAAGCAGUAAGUAAUUUCUAAAAUACACAGAAAAUGUUUCUUGCAAUCUUCAUCUCAAGCAAGAUGGAAAUCAUCACUAGAGGUACAGAGCCUAAUUCACAGUGCUCUUGAUAUAGGUAUUAGGGAUGAUGCCAGGCCUGAGCAGGGUGAUUUGAGGCACCUAGCUGAAAAUAAUGCAAAAUUCAUGAGCCUGUAAUAGUGUAUGGAAGAGGAAGCCUGAUUCUGCAGCUUAGUGGGCAGGAUCACCACUGUGAUCAACAGAUGCCACUUAUGUGUUUUAUCCAAUGUCUGUGGAAAAACUUACAGGUACUCUUGGAAAUGCAAAACGCCUUGCAUCCUCUCCAGAUGUCCCUGAAACAAAGCUACAUGGCUCUUGCUCUGUUGCUCUGUCUUGCUCUUUGCCCUUUUUUUUUUUUUUUUGCAGUGGCCCAGAUUCAACACAGAAAGUAGAGAGAAGCACCAUCCCAUUGCUUGGCAACUUGGAGAAUUCACAGAGAUGAGAGCUGGGCAUCAGACGGGCCCAGCCUCACAUGUUUAUUUGCCAGUGAAGGAGCAGUACACCUGAAACUUCUGUCUCUGAAGCAAUACACCUGAGAACUUCUACCAGUGUUUGUGGUGACUUUCACUCCUGCAGCCGGCGUGCCCAGCGGAGCAUCGCCAGGAGCGGGCAGGAAGCCCCCGGCACUCUGGCCCCGGGAGCCGCACGACGGGGUCAGGGCCACCCCUUCGUCAUCGCUCACCAGAGCCGGCCUCAGUCCCGGUCUUUCAGGAGCUCCUUGGGACUCGUUGGUCAGAAGAAACCCCGCACGGUUUAAUGCCCGGGGCAGGGUCUGCUCCUCGGUCAGCGCUCCACCCGCCGCAGGGCUAUGGUCUGAAACAAAAGCAAGCUCUAGAAAGGCAGAUCUCCUUUGUCGUACAUUCAGGGAUGGAUUUUCUCCUCUUCUUCUGGUGCUGAAAUCAGGGAGAGGACUAAUUCCUCUGAAGAUAAUGGAGCAAACCAACUCAAGUGAAAGGAGAAUCAGACUGUAGCUCUAAGAAACACCCAUUCCUAUUACUUCCUAGGUUUUUGUUGUUUUUGUUUUUGUUUUUGUUUUUGUUUUUUUUCCUGCAAAUAUAUAAAUCUUUGUAUUAGCUGACUUCAAAGAUCAUAAAUCCAUAAUUGUAUGUGCAGACUACUAAUGCAGUGCGCUGCUGAUGCAUAAAACACACGUAGAUAAUACACAAAUACACUCAGGCUGGGCUUAAAUUUAGCUUCAACCACACAAAAGAUAUCUUUAUAACUAAGAAUGAUGGGAAGAAAGAUCUCAUUCCAGACCAGAUGAACAUCUCAUUUUUUCAUUAAUCCUGGAUUUGCCUGAUCUGACUUAAAUGUGUCCUAAGACAUUUCUUAGUACUUUGGAAAUUACAUCAACAUACUUGGGUUGGAGAUGCCAGAGUUAGAGAAAAAAGGGGGGGAUUCUAUUUUUAAAAUUCUGCUGUUCCUUUUAAAAAUAGAUCAGCAAAGCAUAACUUUUGCUAUAGCUGUAAUUUUUCAGGCUAAGCAAACUCCAGUAAUUUCAAAAGCAGUGGGAACAAGGGGUCACUUGGGGCCAGCCAGAAAAAAAAAAAAAAUUAACUCUUUGCUCUUCUCCAGCACAAGUUUUUGUCAUGUUAUUAUUGUUGAAGAGUCAGCUUAUAAAUGAAAAGUUAAGCUUUUCCUUGCAAGAAAACAGAAACUGAAAAAAGUUUGCAACAGUAGUGAUUUCAGAGCUGGAUGAGAACAUUAAUGAGGGAAGAGAAAUAAAAACAGGAGUUCAGCUGUGCAUCUUCUCAGUACUUAUCACUACAGCCAGACUAGAAUUUGCUAAAUGACAUCUGUCACUGACAGCUGCUGUCAUCAGGAGACUGCCAGGAGCUGCAAACACCUUUCAGCAGCAGGAGGCUAUGAGCCAUGGCAGUGUACAAGCUUUUCAUGACAUUGCCUUCAGUGGUAGAGCUCCAAAGUCUUUCCCUAAUAAUAUUGCUGCAAGUCUUCAGUUUAGAGGGGAAGAAAGCCAUGCUACAGCAGCAUGACCUGACUCUCUUGAAAAUUUAAUGUGAAUAAUACAGAUCCUUGUUUCAUGAUGGUUUUGUAUCAGACAGCUAAACUUCCAUGACCUAGUGUUUUAGGUGAUUUUUAGAUGUUACAUUUUAUACAAGUAUACAAAUAACCCUUAAACAGUGAAAAACCCAAGCAGAGGUAGGUAGGCUGUCCUUGCCAUUAAGGUGUGUUUAGCAAAAGGAUGGAGUCCCCCCAGCCCAAAUUCACACCUUUGAGCUCUGGCCAUCUCAAAGAUAAAAUCCCUAGGAAUAAAACUCCAUCUUUACCUAACCUGCCAGCUGUAGCUCAAGUUUGCUGAUUUCAACUGGAGCUCCACUCACAUUUAUAUAGAAGUUAUUUGUCAUCCUCCUGGCAAUCUAUAGGGCAAAUGAUUGUUUUCCCCAGAUUGUUUUCCCCAUAUCUUUCCAAGAAUGGGAAUGGGGGUUAAAAAAAUCUAUUGGUUUCCCAAGUGGUCUCCAACGGGGUAAUGAUAGUUUGGCACUGGAAAUGCUUGGCCUCUGUAGUUUGAGAACCAAACUGGGGAAGCUAGGAUAGAUGUUCAGGCUUUGAAAACACCAGCUAUUUCUGUUUGUUUGUAUCUACAAUUGCAUUGGGAUAAACAGCUCUCAGCAGAAGAAAAUGCAAUUUGUUUAAGUAUUUCAGCCAAAGAACAGCAAUUAUAAAAAUAAGGCACUCCUUUCCCUACCUUCAAAGCAUUUGCUAGUGUCAAUACUAGGACCUGAGAACAAGUCCUGAGGCUUAAAUCUCUUCUAACUGACACUUAAGAGAUUAAUCUCUUCUAGCUUGACACCUCAGAGAUUUACUAUUAUGCAUUACACAUUGUGAAAUGUUGCAAGCACUUUCUAGUUAGAGCUUUAUUUUGUCCCAUUGGCUAAAGAGUAGUCACACUGCAAUGAUGUCACACUGCAGUGAUGUUUUAGACUCCUCCUUGAGAAAUGAACUGCUUCAUGCUGUAACUGCAGAGUGUGAUCAGUGGAUAGACAGGACACCAAUGAAUCUUUAGUCACAAGCCAUCCAUACAUCUCAGUUGCACUCUCUGAAACAUCUACAGCUCCCCACUUGUCAGGAAUGGUGUUGCCUUAAUAAAUCACACCAAAAAUCCUUAAUGGUAUUUUAACAGCACUGAGCAGGCAUUGUUUCUAGGAAAAAAAACCCCAAAACCUCAAAAAACUUGGUGAUCUCAAAGUGUAUACCGGGAAGCACAAUGCUGUAGCUACAACUCAUAGUAGCUUCUGAUGUUGGCAUUGACAAAACAAAAGGGAGUCUUCUUCAAUGUAACAAAGAUUUCCAUGAGUUGAUCAGAACAUACAGAACUAUUUGACCAAAAGUCUCUUUCAAAUAAAAAAAAGUCUGCCAUAUAUAAGCUAUUAUAAAGAAUAAAUUUUAAGGGCUUAAUCAAAUAAAAUUUCUUUCAUGAAAGAUAAAUUUCUGGCUAUUCAAAAGUGUAAUAUAAAGAUUAAUUGUUUGUUUUGUGUCUGUUACUGAAAAAGUUCUGCUAAAAUAAUAAAAAAAUGCUUUCAUCA